GGCAGGCCCAGGAGUGAUAAGCGUGAACUAGAGAGUGCUGUGCAGGAGGAAGCUGGGGCCGCCGUCGGGCCUUCUCCCUCCAGGGGCCCAAGAGCCACUGGUACUCAGUGUCUGGGUGGGGGCAGGGGGGAUUUUUGUUCUCCCAGCACCUGCGGCUGUUGAGACCAGAGAAGCUGGUGGUCGACCACAGCCUGGGGUAUUAGUUCACCCCUAGCUUCUCCCCAGCGAGACCCCAGGGCCCUUGGGCACAGGGGAUUAAGCCUCUAUCUGCUUACGUGCAAGCGGAAGAAAUAGGCCCAGAGAGCAACAGUGGCGGGUCUGCAGUCACACAGCCAACUUGCGCUUGUGGCAGUGGCAAGGUUGGUGAGUAUCUGAGUCUUCAGGCCACGGCAUUUUCCGCUCGAGUGGAGCCUGAAGUUCUGAGGGUACCCCUCACUCAAGCUCCAGGCGUCAGGAAAAGAACAUUCCACGAAGUCCAUCUGGAAGACGGUCCUUUCCCUGCUGCCCCCAGCUUCUAGAACAUUCCCUGGAACACAGCAAGUGUUCAGUAUUGUUCAUGGAGUGACAGAUGUCUCAGCCAAGAAGGUACAAUCACAGGGAAGAAUGACUUCAACUGGUCUUGACUUCAACCUGCUUCCAGCCUGGUUCCCUUCUCCCACCUCCCUACAGCCCACAGAAGAUCUUUUCCAAACUGGAAGUCUGUCCAGGUCAUUCUUCUGCUCUAAGGCUUUCAGUAGCUCCCCCUUAUCCCCAGGAGGAAGUCCAAAUGCCUUAACAAGUGUCAAGGAACACUUGGUGAGCCCUGCUUUCCUUGCUAGUCACUCGUGCACAGCUGAGUCUUUCCCCAGAGUGGAUGUCAUUCAUGCUGUUCCCAUUGCCUGGAUUCCUGCUCCUCUCCACCCCAUUCAACUGAUAAACUCGUGGUUUUUUUUUUUUUUUUUUUUUUUUUUGAGACUGAGUCUCGAUCUAUCACCCACGCUGGAGUGCAGUGGUGCAAUCUCGGCUCACUGCAACUUCUGCUUCCUGGGUUCAAGAGAUUCUUGUGCCUCAGCCUCCCGAAUAGCUGGGGUUACGGGCGUCUGCCAACAUGCCUGGCUAAUUUUUGUAUUUUUAAUAGAGAUGGGGUUUCACCAUGUUGGCCAGGCUCUUCUCAAACUCCUGACCUAAAGGGAUCCCCCCGCCUUGGCCUACCAAAGUGCUGGAAUUACAGGCGUGAACCACUGUGCCUGGCCUCAACUGAUACACUCUUGUCCUUUUACUAGGCUCAGCUUAGGGACCGUCACCUCCAGGAAGCCUUCCCAACCUGCACUGAUCACUUCUUCUUCUUCUCUUUGGGAUUAUCACUUGUAUUGUAAUAAAAUCUUGUUUUUUUUCUUUAAAAAAUAUUAUUUGCAUUCAGCAAAAUUCACCCUUUUUGAUAUACAGUUCUGAGGUUUUUUUUAGUUCUAUAAGUUUUGUCAAAUAUGUAAAGUUGUAAUCUCCAACACAAUCAAAAUAUAAAACAAUUUCCUCACCCCUCCCCAAUUCCCUUAUGCUCUUUUGUAUCCAACACUUCUUCCCACUCCAGCCCCUGGCAACCACGGAUUUGCUUUCUGUCUGUACAACACUGCCUCUUCCAGAAUGUCAUAUAUAAAAUCACGCUGUUU
ensembl:lncRNA novel transcript